rnacentral:rRNA from 1 species
UACGUAGGCAGCGAGCGUUGUUCGGAAUUACUGGGCGUAAAGAGUGCGUAGGCGGUGCUCUAAGUUUGGUGUGAAAUCUCCCGGCUUAACUGGGAGGGUGCGCCGAAGACUGGAGUGCUUGAGUGUGGGAGAGGAAAGCGGAAUUCCUGGUGUAGCGGUGAAAUGCGCAGAUAUCAGGAAGAACACCCGUGGCGAAAGCGGCUCUCUGGAACGGUACUGACGCUGAGACGCGAAAGCGUGGGGAGCGAACAGG